rnacentral:lncRNA from 1 species
UUGGGCAAUCAGUGGUACUGUGUGGGGAUCAACUGUGUGUAGCGAUUUUCAACGUAGCCCCUCCCUCCACUGGGCACCCACCCAAAGUGCUGCUGCCGGCCGGAAUGGACCAGCGUGGGACCACAAUUGCAUAUGCAUGCCCUAGUUGCUCUUUUUUUUCUUCUUCUUUCUGGUUUGAGAACUUCUCUAUUAUCUCGAUGUAAAACAAAAACAAAAAACUUCUUCUCUACUGUCUCCUCCUCCUCACUCAGUCAUCACAUCGCGCAAAACCUCUGUCCUGUGGCUUUGCCGUGCAUUGCUUGUUUCCAUGGAAUCUCGACCUCUCAAUCACACACACGCACACACAUGCAUGC